rnacentral:misc_RNA from 1 species
GUAUAGGUUUGUAGGCACAAAGGCCCAUUUCAUUACAUUCUAUAACAUACAUGGGGUAUAUGAAGAAAACAUAGGCCUGGAGAUGUAAGGAAAGACGAAAAUCAAUCCUCAAACCUGAAUGCCAGGGCAUUCAGAAAGAUAUCCAGAUCUACAAAAGGUGCACAGGUGGAGAUAUAAAGAUGACAAGCGUGCACAUGCUCCCUAGAGAGCCAGCAGCAACUCAUCAGGUUUAUUUCAAUAAUGAUCCUUCCGCAGGUUCACCUACGGAAA